rnacentral:rRNA from 1 species
CGUUCUGUAAGCGGAUGAAGGUGAAUCGAGAGGUUUGCUGGACGUAUCAGAAGUGCGAAUGCUGACAUAAGUAACGAUAAAACGAGUGAAAAACUCGUUCGCCGGAAGACCAAGGGUUCCUGUCCAACGUUAAUCGGGGCAGGGUGAGUCGGCCCCUAAGGCGAGGCUGAAAAGCGUAGUCGAUGGGAAACGGGUUAAUAUUCCCGUACUUGGAUAAAUUGCGAUGUGGGGACGGAGAAGGUUAGGUUAGCAGCCUGUUGGAUGGCUGUUUAAGGCGGUAGGUGGAGUGCUUAGGCAAAUCCGGGCGCUCUUAACACCGAGAACUGAUGACGAGGUGCUAAGGCACUGAAGUAACUGAUACCACGCUUCCAGGAAAAGCCACUAAGCUUCAGAUUUAUCUAAACCGUACUAUAAACCGACACAGGUGGUCAGGUAGAGAAUACUCAGGCGCUUGAGAGAACUCGGGUGAAGGAACUAGG